rnacentral:rRNA from 1 species
UACGUAUGGUGCAAGCGUUAUCCGGAUUUACUGGGUGUAAAGGGAGCGCAGGCGGCACGGCAAGCCUGAUGUGAAAGCCCGCGGCCCAACCGCGGGACUGCAUUGGGAACUACCGGGCUGGAGUGCCGGAGAGGUAGGCGGAAUUCCUAGUGUAGCGGUGAAAUGCGUGGAUAUUAGGAGGAACACCAGUGGCGAAGGCGGCCUACUGGACGGUGACUGACGCUGAGGCUCGAAAGCGUGGGGAGCAAACAGG